rnacentral:rRNA from 1 species
UAACGCGAAGAACCUUACCAGGCCUUGACACGGGAUGCAAAGACUUAGAGAUAAGUUGGAGGUUACCAUCCACACAGGUGGUGCAUGGUUGUCGUCAGCUCGUGUCGUGAGAUGUUCAGUUAAGUCUGGCAACGAGCGCAACCCUCGUGAUCUGUUACUACCAGUAAGAUGAGGACUCAGAUCAGACUGCCGGUGACAAACCGGAGGAAGGCGGGGAUGACGUCAAAUCAUCAUGCCCCUUAUGGCCUGGGCUACACACGUACUACAAUGGCGCCUACAGACGGAAGUGAAGCUGUGAAGUGGAGCGAACCCGAGAAAAGGCGCCCCAGUUCGGAUUGAAGUCUGCAACCCGACUUCAUGAAGUUGGAAUCGCUAGUAAUCGCGGAUCAGCAUGCCGCGGUGAAUACGUUCCCGGGCCUUGUACACACCGA